GGAGAGAUGGCAGAGCGGCCGAUUGCGGCGGUCUUGAAAACCGUUGAGCCCGCAAGGGUUCCGGGGGUUCAAAUCCCUCUCUCUCCGCCA
rnacentral:tRNA from 1 species